UACGUAGGUGGCAAGCGUUGUCCGGAAUUAUUGGGCGUAAAGCGCGCGCAGGUGGUUUCUUAAGUCUGAUGUGAAAGCCCACGGCUCAACCGUGGAGGGUCAUUGGAAACUGGGGGACUUGAGUGCAGGAGAGAAGAGUGGAAUUCCACGUGUAGCGGUGAAGUGCGUAGAGAUGUGGAGGAACACCAGUGGCGAAGGCGACUCUUUGGCCUGUAACUGACGCUGAGGCGCGAAAGCGUGGGGAGCAAACAGG
rnacentral:rRNA from 1 species